rnacentral:other from 1 species
GUUUAAAUACAUCUCAUGUUGAGGUUCAAC